rnacentral:rRNA from 1 species
CACGUAGGGCGCAAGCGUUGUCCGGAAUUAUUGGGCGUAAAGAGCUCGUAGGUGGUUUGUUACGUCUGCUGUGAAAACCUAGGGCUUAACCCUGGGCUUGCAGUGGAUACGGGCAGACUAGAGGUAGGUAGGGGAGAAUGGAAUUCCUGGUGUAGCGGUGAAAUGCGCAGAUAUCAGGAGGAACACCGGUGGCGAAGGCGACUACCUGGACCAGCACUGACACUGAGGCACGAAAGCGUGGGGAGCAAACAGG